rnacentral:rRNA from 1 species
AUGAACGCUGGCGGCGUGCUUAACACAUGCAAGUCGAACGGAAAGGCCCAAGCUUGCUUGGGUACUCGAGUGGCGAACGGGUGAGUAACACGUGGGUGAUCUGCCCUGCACUUCGGGAUAAGCCCGGGAAACUGGGUCUAAUACCGGAUAGGACGAUGGUUUGGAUGCCAUUGUGGAAAGUUUUUUCGGUGUGGGAUGAGCUCGCGGCCUAUCAGCUUGUUGGUGGGGUAAUGGCCUACCAAGGCGUCGACGGGUAGCCGGCCUGGGAGGAUGUACGGCCACAUUGGGACUGGGAUGCGGCCCAGACUCCUACGGGAGGCAGCAGUGGGGAAUAUUGCUCAAUGGGCGCAAGGCUGAGGCAGCGACGCCGCGUGGGGGAUGACGGCCUUCGGGUUGUAAACUCCUUUCGCUAGGGACGAAGCGUUUUUGUGACGGUACCUGGAGAAGAAGCACCGGCUAACUACGUG